CCCUUAAUGCGAGGUUUACAGUAAUUAUUCAACUUACAUGAAGCAGUCAGAAAGUUUAUUGAGAUUUGAGAAAUAAAGUUACACUCAUAAGUAGCAAAACAGUGGAUGAAGAAGUGUGGGAUUAUGAGUGAUUAUUUCAUUCUAAAGCAAACAUAAGCAAGUCUCGCUCACUGUCAUGAAAAUUCACAAUAACAAUCAGCAAGAAAAACUUCAAGGAUACUGGCUAGGCUAACCAAUUCAUGGAAUUCUGUUAGUAUUUGAAAUUAUAAAUAGCUAUUGUAAAACAAAAGUUUUCCAAAUAAAGAUUUUGUAAAUAAUG